AUUGAACGCUGGCGGCAUGCCUUACACAUGCAAGUCGAACGGUAACAGGUUAAGCUGACGAGUGGCGAACGGGUGAGUAAUGUAUCGGAACGUGCCCAGUCGUGGGGGAUAACUGCUCGAAAGAGCAGCUAAUACCGCAUACGACCUGAGGGUGAACGCGGGGGAUCGCAAGACCUCGCGCGAUUGGAGCGGCCGAUAUCAGAUUAGGUAGUUGGUGAGGUAAAGGCUCACCAAGCCGACGAUCUGUAGCUGGUCUGAGAGGACGACCAGCCACACUGGGUCUGAGACACGGCCCAGACUCCUACGGGAGGCAGCAGUGGGGAAUUUUGGACAAUGGGCGCAAGCCUGAUCCAGCCAUGCCGCGUGCGGGAAGAAGGCCUUCGGGUUGUAAACCGCUUUUGUCAGGGAAGAAAAGGUUCUGGCUAAUACCUGGGACUCAUGACGGUACCUGAAGAAUAAGCACCGGCUAACUACGUG
rnacentral:rRNA from 1 species